UACGUAGGGGGCAAGCGUUGUCCGGAAUUAUUGGGCGUAAAGAGCUCGUAGGCGGUUUGUUGCGUCGGCUGUGAAAUCCCGAGGCUCAACCUCGGGUCUGCAGUCGAUACGAGCAAACUAGAGUGUUGCAGGGGGGACUGGAAUUCCUGGUGUAGCGGUGAAAUGCGCAGAUAUCAGGAGGAACACCGGUGGCGAAGGCGAGUCCCUGGACAACACCUGACACUGAGGCACGAAAGCUAGGGGAGCAAACAGG
rnacentral:rRNA from 1 species